GGUUGUGGUUCAGGGGUAGAAUGCUUGCCUAGCAUGCAUGAGGCAUGGGUUCGAUCCCUGGCACCA
rnacentral:tRNA from 1 species